rnacentral:rRNA from 1 species
GACGAACGCUGGCGGCGUGCUUAACACAUGCAAGUCGAACGAUGAAACCUAGCUUGCUAGGUCGAUUAGUGGCGAACGGGUGAGUAACACGUGACUAACCUGCCCCUUUCUCUGGGAUAACGCUCCGAAAGGAGUGCUAAUACCGGAUACUCACACCGAGGCACAUGCCUUGGUGUGGAAAGUUUUUCGGAAAGGGAUGGAGUCGCGGCCUAUCAGCUUGUUGGUGAGGUAACGGCUCACCAAGGCGACGACGGGUAGCCGGCCUGAGAGGGCGACCGGCCACACUGGGACUGAGACACGGCCCAGACUCCUACGGGAGGCAGCAGUGGGGAAUAUUGCACAAUGGGCGCAAGCCUGAUGCAGCGACGCCGCGUGAGGGAUGAAGGUCUUCGGAUUGUAAACCUCUUUCAGUAGGGACGAAGCGAAAGUGACGGUACCUAAAGAAGAAGCACCGGCUAACUACGUGCCAGCCGCCGCCGCAG